GCAAACUUGGUCAUUUAGAGGAAGUAAAAGUCGUAACAAGGUCUCCGUAGGUGAACCUGCGGAGGGAUCAUUACCGAGAGAGGGUUCCUCGCGAGCCCGACCUCCCAACCCUAUGUUUAUCGUGACCUAUGUUGCUUCGGUAGGGGGACCUACCGGGGGAGGAAUCUCCCGGAGUCUCAGUACCUACCGGUAGCCUAAUUUACAAACUCUUGUUUAAUCGUGUCCUUGUCUCAGUAUAACCACAAAAUUAAAAACCAAAACUUUCAACAACGGAUCUCUUGGUUCUGGCAUCGAUGAAGAACGCAGC
rnacentral:misc_RNA from 1 species